rnacentral:rRNA from 1 species
UACGUAGGGUGCAAGCGUUGUCCGGAAUUAUUGGGCGUAAAGAGCUCGUAGGCGGUUUGUCGCGUCUGCUGUGAAAACUCAGGGCUUAACCCUGAGCCUGCAGUGGGUACGGGCAGACUAGAGUGUGGUAGGGGAGAUCGGAAUUCCUGGCGUAGCGGUGGAAUGCGCAGAUAUCAGGAGGAACACCGGUGGCGAAGGCGGAUCUCUGGGCCAUAACUGACGCUGAGGAGCGAAAGCAUGGGGAGCGAACAGG